UUAGCACCGUCAAACUACACGACUGUACAACGGCGUCGGUCGUUCCGACCGUUGAGACUGCCAAAGCUCGAUGGCUGCAAGUGCUUUGUUUCUCCAAUGACCCAGUCUACGAGAUAGCGUAUGCCCCGGGGCCCCGAUGAAAGAUGGCGUUACAUGGUACUGUACAAUCAUGUAGAAGGAAAUUCCGAUAACCAACAACAACUUGAGCAAGUAUGGGUAGUCACCUCCAGGCUCCACUCUCGAAAGUCAAGACGUGACGCAGAUCAGUGACACUGGCUAAAUGCAUGCACCUACAUGUGGACGGAUCAGGACUCUCGGGCCGAGCGGAAGACCAAGGCAGUAUACGAACAAGCCGUCUCGUACAAGCCUCUGGACCUGAUGUGCUAUUGCCGCUCUCAAGCCAUGCCAGGUACGGCAGAGUGUCACCAGACAGUACCCCCAAUCGGAGGGAGAAGAAACAAGCCUGGAGAAGAAAAUCUAAAAAUUCUGGCCAUCCCAAAUCCCGACCACCAUCUGAGGAAAGUUGUCAACAAGUGUGAAAUUCAGUAGCAGGAUACUACAGGA